GCAGGCGAGAAACCUCCACAAUGUGGGAAACCACGAUGGGGGAACUCCAAGUGCCUGCACUUUUGUGCAGGCUGUUCUCGAGCCUAAAAAGCUCGAGAAGUAAGGGCCGGGUAAGACGGGUGCCAGCCGCCGCGGUAAUACCCGCGGCCCGAGUGGUGCUCAUUAUUAUUGAGCCUAAAGCGUCCGUAGCUGGCCGUGCAAAUCUCCGGGGAAAUCGGACGGCCCAACUGUCCGAAGACCGGAGACACUGCUCGGCUCGAGAUCGGGAGAGGGAGGAGGUACUCUCGGGGUAGGGGUAAAAUCCUGUAAUCCUGAGGGGACCACCAGUGGCGAAGGCGUCCUCCUAGAACGAAUCUGACAGUGAGGGACGAAGCCCUAGGGCGCAAACGGGAUUAGAUACCCCCGUAGUCC
rnacentral:rRNA from 1 species